rnacentral:rRNA from 1 species
GGAGUUAAGAAAUGCAGGCAGGUUAAUACCCUGUUUGUUUGACAAAGGCCCCAAAGGAAGCUACGGCUAACUCUGUGCCAGCAGCCGCGGUAAUACAGAGGUGGCGAGCGUUGUUCGGUAUUAUUGGGCGUAAAGAGCACGCAGGUGGUUUUGUAAGUCAGAUGUGAAAGCCUUCUGUUCAAAGGAAGAACGGCAUCUGAAACUGCUGAUCUUGAGUGUAGGAGGGGAGAGUG